ACGUAGGGGGCGAGCGUUAUUCGGAAUUACUGGGUGUAAAGGGUAUGUAGGCGGCCCUUCAAGUCGCGUGUCAAAGUCCAGUGCUCAACGCUGGGAGUGCGCGUGGAACUGAUGAGCUUGAGUGCAGGAGAGGUAAGUGGAAUUCCCGGUGUAGUAGUGAAAUGCGUAGAGAUCGGGAGGAACACCAGCGGCGAAGGCGACUUGCUGGACUGUAACUGACGCUGAGAUACGAAAGCUAGGGGAGCAAACGG
rnacentral:rRNA from 1 species